CUUCUCAGGGAUUCUUCCAGAGAAAUCAGGAAUAACCUAUCUACUAAUGAUCAGCACCUGUGUCUUUGUGUCUGAGGCCAAGAAUAAAUUCAUCAACUGGGUAGCCACUACAGCAGAAGAAGCCAACCACAGUCAAUGUUGACUACGCGUCAAGUUGCCAGAGGCCACAGGAAAUGGACUACCUUGGAGAAUCAUCCCUGCCAACAUUUCUGAAUGGCUAUGUCACUACCAAUGGGGCCACAACAACAACACUUGCAACCCAACCUGGACUUCCUUUGACCAAAGGAAGAAAUCUAUCUUUGCCCAUGUCAGACGAAAGGUGAACACCACCCUUGCCUUGUGUCAAAAGCUUUGGUAUCCUGCCCAAUAUGCCUGGAACAGUAUAUAUUGGGAAACUGCUGUGCUGGUGGCCAGAUUCCAUAUAGCCCCCCACUUUGUCUGGAGGCCUUAAAUGGCUCCUCUAAUGUUACUCUGGGGUUUCUCCUGCCAGACAACUGUCAACACAUACUCGAAAUCAACAACAUUGUCCCCAGUGAAACACAAUCUCUUUCCUGCUUUAAUAACACCUUAAUACACUAUAAUUACAAAAAAACCAUUGCUGUACCCUGGUGGGGGCCCUGUGGGUAUGCAGAUCCUACGAGUGGCAAUACCUGCCCCCACAUUGGAUGGGGAGAUGCACUUAGAGGUGGCCAUUAAUUCCAUU
rnacentral:lncRNA from 1 species